rnacentral:rRNA from 1 species
AUUGAACGCUGGCGGCAGGCAUAACACAUGCAAGUCGAGCGAGCGGCGGACGGGUGAGGUAUGUCUGGCAAAAUGCCUGAUGGAGGGUGAUAAAUACAAGCAACGGUAGCACAUCCCCCAUACCCUCAGGUUUGCCCAGAUGGGAUUAGCUAGGAGGUGGGGUAACGGUCCACCAAGGCGACGAUCCUUAGCGGGUCUUUGAGGAUGACCAGCCACACGGGAACUGAGACACGGUCCAGACUCCUACGGGAGGCAGCAGUGGGGAAUAUUGCACAAGGGGCGCAAGCCUGAUGCAGCCAUGCCGCGUGUGUGAAGAAGGCCUUCGGGUUGUAAAGCACGUUCAGCAGGGAGGCGUUACCCGCAGAAGAAGCACCGGCUAACUCCGUGCCAGCCGCCGCGGUAAUAC